UCCAAGGUUGUUGUGAAGGUGAAAACAGAUAUUUGUAAAUCUCUUUAUACUAUGCCUGGUACACAGUAGGUACUUAAUAAAUGCUUAUGUUCUUCCCCAAUACUUGUUCCCUUCUCUUCCCCUUAAGAGGGAAACAUGUGGUAGAAGAGGACCUUAAGAAGAGGGUAUUUGUCUCCUUCUUCCCUUUACAAAAUAAAGAUUUCAUGAACUUUGAAAGACAGGAAGAUUUGAACUUCCCAAGCACCCAGAAGGCAACCAGGAUGGUGAAGGGCCUCACACCAGAAGAGAGCAACUUGAAGAUACUGGAGAUGUUUAGCCUGAAGAAAAGAAUUCUUAAGGGUUAUAAAAUGAAAAAGGUAUUAAAUUAAUUCUGCUUGCUCCCAAAAGACCCAAAUAUGAGUAAAUGGAAACUUCAAA